GCCAAAGUGGUGGAAUUGGUAGACACGUCGGAUUCAAAAUCCGAUGCUUUCGGGCGUGUGGGUUCGAGUCCCACCUUUGGUA
rnacentral:tRNA from 1 species